GAUGAAGAACGUAGCGAAAUGCGAUACGUAAUGUGAAUUGCAAAUUCAGUGAAUCAUCGAGUCUUUGAACGCACAUUGCGCCCCCUGGUAUUCCGGGGGGCAUGCCUGUCCGAGCGUCAUUGCUGCCCUCAAGCACGGCUUGUGUGUUGGGCCCCGUCCUCCGAUCCCGGGGGACGGGCCCGAAAGGCAGCGGCGGCACCGCGUCCGGUCCUCGAGCGUAUGGGGCUUUGUCACCCGCUCUGUAGGCCCGGCCGGCGCUUGCCGAUCAACCCAAAUUUUUUAUCCAGGUUGACCUCGGAUCAGGUAGGGAUACCCGCUGCACUUAAGCAUAUCAAUAAGCGGAGGA
rnacentral:misc_RNA from 1 species